rnacentral:misc_RNA from 1 species
CGCCUCAAUUUGACAAAUAGAUUAUUAACCUCGCAGUAAGGCCAUCUUUUUUUCUAAUAAACAAAGUAUUGCUAAUUUGAAGGACCUAACAUCAGUUACAUAUGCCAACAUGGCCGGCCACAACGUGGAGCAUCUAUCUAACAAAUUGUAAUGUCUGAUUUUUUUUUUUUUUCCCUUUUCUUUUGGAAGGGGGAGGGGACAAAAUGAAAGAACUAACUAUUCAGCUUCCAUCUAAAAGUAUAAUGAUUUGUAUACAUACUCCUGUAUUGUAUCCUCCCACCUUGAGGAAAGUUCGGGAAGGUGACACUGGUGACACUCCCUUUAGCCAUGUCAACUCAACUAGCAUCUUGAACGAAAAGCUCCUGCAUAAAUCACCGUACAAGCUCUUGCUCCAAACUCUUUCAAAGCUUCUUCCAGAAAUUUAAAAAAAAAAAAAAAAAAAUAUCCAUGGGAAUUUGUUAGAUUAUCUAACAUGCUGUGCUUUCUCCAUCUGAAUUCUCAAAUGCCUCUCACCAUUUUGUAGACCAGGAUAAAUACUUAAUGCAUGUUCAUUUGCCCAGGUAACACCAUCCCACUAUAUCUAAAAGAGAGCACUCCAUACAGCUCCAUCCCCUUCACCACAUCUUUCAUGAACAAAUUUGAUCUUCUCCACUGAUUUGCAGAUUCCACUGCAGCUCCAGUCAAAAGAUGCAAUGCAUACAUUACCUGCCUGUGCCUUCCACUCACAAUCUGGUGGAGUUCCACAACACAUGUUGCGGUCAUCAAUGUGCUCAACCUCAAGACCGAUAAACCAUGAUCC